GGGUUGUGAGGUUAAGCGACUAAGCGUACACGGUGGAUGCCCUGGCAGUCAGAGGCGAUGAAGGACGUGCUAAUCUGCGAUAAGCGUCGGUAAGGUGAUAUGAACCGUUAUAACCGGCGAUUUCCGAAUGGGGAAACCCAGUGUGUUUCGACACACUAUCAUUAACUGAAUCCAUAGGUUAAUGAGGCGAACCGGGGGAACUGAAACAUCUAAGUACCCCGAGGAAAAGAAAUCAACCGAGAUUCCCCCAGUAGCGGCGAGCGAACGGGGAGGAGCCCAGAGCCUGAAUCAGUGUGUGUGUUAGUGGAAGCGUAUGGAAAGGCGCGCGAUACAGGGUGACAGCCCCGUACACAAAAAUGCACAUGCUGUGAGCUCGAUGAGUAGGGCGGGACACGUGGUAUCCUGUCUGAAUAUGGGGGGACCAUCCUCCAAGGCUAAAUACUCCUGACUGACCGAUAGUGAACCAGUACCGUGAGGGAAAGGCGAAAAGAACCCCGGCGAGGGGAGUGAAAAAGAACCUGAAACCGUGUACGUACAAGCAGUGGGAGCAUGCUUAGGCGUGUGACUGCGUACCUUUUGUAUAAUGGGUCAGCGACUUAUAUUCUGUAGCAAGGUUAACCGAAUAGGGGAGCCGAAGGGAAACCGAGUCUUAACUGGGCGUUAAGUUGCAGGGUAUAGACCCGAAACCCGGUGAUCUAGCCAUGGGCAGGUUGAAGGUUGGGUAACACUAACUGGAGGACCGAACCGACUAAUGUUGAAAAAUUAGCGGAUGACUUGUGGCUGGGGGUGAAAGGCCAAUCAAACCGGGAGAUAGCUGGUUCUCCCCGAAAGCUAUUUAGGUAGCGCCUCGUGAA
rnacentral:rRNA from 1 species